GCACCUGUGACCUGCCUGGACUCCGUCAUCACAAUGUCAAAAUUCUGUCAAAAUGUCAAAAUUCCGUCACAGUGUCAAAAUUCUGCUGAGUUUCACGCCAAGGGAGGGGAAGGAGAAUAUUCAUCCUCUUUUCCCAUUUGGUGUCACAUGCAAUUAUUUGGGGCCCAAAGCAGGUCAGCUUAUAUCCAGCAUCUCUUAUAUGGAAGGCAUCAAUGAGAACCAAAAUAAAAACUACAAUCCCUCACUCAAGAAGUUUAAAAUGAAGUGAAUGGACAAUUGUGAGAAGAAAUGCUAUUGAUCUUCCAAAGUUGUAUAUUCGAUAGUGAAUAUUGUAUGUUUAAAGUAACCUUGCAAAAUGUGUCAUGUCAAAUGUAAUAAAUUGUAUGUUCUGACGAAGGAAUGAAA